CACGUAGGGGGCGAGCGUUGUCCGGAUUUAUUGGGCGUAAAGAGCUCGUAGGCGGCUCAGUAAGUCGGGUGUGAAACCUCCAGGCUCAACCUGGAGACGCCACCUGAUACUGCUGUGGCUGGAGUCCGGUAGGGGAGCGUGGAAUUCCUGGUGUAGCGGUGAAAUGCGCAGAUAUCAGGAAGAACACCCGUGGCUAAGGCGGCUCUCUAGUACGGUACUGACGCUGAGACGCGAAAGCGUGGGGAGCGAACAGG
rnacentral:rRNA from 1 species